CAGCCGCCACGGUAAUACGUAGGGUCCGAGCGUUGUCCGGAAUUAUUGGGCGUAAAGGGCUCGUAGGCGGUUUGUCACGUCGGGAGUGAAAACUCAGGGCUCAACCCUGAGCGUGCUUCCGAUACGGGCAGACUAGAGGUAUGCAGGGGAGAACGGAAUUCCUGGUGUAGCGGUGGAAUGCGCAGAUAUCAGGAGGAACACCGGUGGCGAAGGCGGUUCUCUGGGCAUUACCUGACGCUGAGGAGCGAAAGCAUGGGGAGCGAACAGGAUUAGAUACCCCGGUAGUCCCUGUCUCUUAUAU
rnacentral:rRNA from 1 species